AUAAAGGCGUUGAUGAAAGAAAAGUAAUUGUGACGGACCAUUUUUCAGAAAGACUUCUCAUGGCUGAAAGGGAGUCAAUGGUACGAACAAUGAAGUUCACUUUCGGAGCUGGCCUUGGGAGUCGCAAGAUGAAAAAGGUACCGGCAGUUUUGUCGUUAACGAAAUGAAGUGCACGGCUUAUUUAGCUGUGAACUAGGGUGGUACCGCGAGAACCUCGUCCCUUUU
rnacentral:ncRNA from 1 species